rnacentral:rRNA from 1 species
UACGUAGGGUGCGAGCGUUGUCCGGAAUUAUUGGGCGUAAAGAGCUCGUAGGCGGUUUGUCACGUCUGCUGUGAAAUCCCGAGGCUCAACCUCGGGCCUGCAGUGGGUACGGGCAGACUGGAGUGCGGUAGGGGAGAAUGGAAUUCCUGGUGUAGCGGUGAAAUGCGCAGAUAUCAGGAGGAACACCGGUGGCGAAGGCGGGUCUCUGGGCAUUAACUGACGCUGAGGAGCGAAAGCAUGGGGAGCGAACAGG